AGUGAACGCUGGCGGUAGGCCUAACACAUGCAAGUCGAACGGCAGCACAGGAGAGCUUGCUCUCUGGGUGGCGAGUGGCGGACGGGUGAGGAAUACAUCGGAAUCUACCUUUUCGUGGGGGAUAACGUGGGGAAACUUACGCUAAUACCGCAUACGACCUACGGGUGAAAGUUGGGGACCGCAAGGCCUCACGCGAUUAGAGGAGCCGAAGUCCGAUUAGCUAGUUGGCGGGGUAAUGGCCCACCAAGGCGACGAUCGGUAGCUGGUCUGAGAGGAUGCUCAGCCACACUGGAACUGAGACACGGUCGAGACUCCUACGGGAGGCAGCAGUGGGGAAUAUUGGACAAUGGGCGCAAGCCUGAUCCAGCCAUACCGCGUGGGUGAAGAAGGCCUUCGGGUUGUAAAGCCCUUUUGUUGGGAAAGAAAUCCUGUCGAUUAAUACUCGGUGGGGAUGACGGUACCAAAAGGAUAAGCACCGGCUAACUUCGUGCCAGCCGCCGCCGUAACAC
rnacentral:rRNA from 1 species